UAGUAGCUUUUUGUUUUAAACCCAUUCUACAAUACUGAUUAUACUGUGGGGACGAAAGUCUCUGCUUUUAACUAGAUAGCAACUUUCAGCAGUGGAUGUCUAGGCUCGCACAUCGAUGAAGAACGCUGCGAACUGCGAUACGUAAUGCGAAUUGCAGGAUUCAGUGAGUCAUCGAAAUUUUGAACGCAUAUUGCACUUCCGGGUUAGUCCUGGGAGUAUGCCUGUAUCAGUGUCCGUACAUCAAACUUGGCUUUCUUCCUUCCGUGUAGUCGGUGGAGGAUGUGCCAGAUGUGAAGUGUCUUGCGGGUGUCCUUCGGGUCGUCUGCGAGUCCUUUGAAAUGUACUGAACUGUACUUCUCUUUGCUCGAAAAGCGUGGUGUUGCUGGUUGUGGAGGCUGCCUGCGUGGCCAGUCGGCGACCGGUUUGUCUGCUGCGGCGUUUAAUGGAGGAGUGUUCGAUUCGCGGUAUGGUUGGCUUCGGCUGAACAGGCGCUUAUUGUAUGCUUUUCCUGCUGUGGCGUGAUGGGCUGGUGAACCGUAGCUGUGUGUGGCUUGGCUUUUGAAUCGGCUUUGCUGUUGUUUUUAGAGUGACGGCUUCGGCUGU
rnacentral:rRNA from 1 species